UACGGGAGGCAGCAGUGAGGAAUAUUGGUCAAUGGACGAGAGUCUGAACCAGCCAAGUAGCGUGAAGGAUGACUGCCCUAUGGGUUGUAAACUUCUUUUAUGCGGGAACAAAGUGAGCCACGUGUGGCUUUUUGUAUGUACCGUAUGAAUAAGGAUCGGCUAACUCCGUGCCAGCAGCCGCGGUAAUACGGAGGAUCCGAGCGUUAUCCGGAUUUAUUGGGUUUAAAGGGAGCGUAGGCGGGUUGUUAAGUCAGUUGUGAAAGUUUGCGGCUCAACCGUAAAAUUGCAGUUGAUACUGGCGACCUUGAGUGCAACAGAGGUAGGCGGAAUUCGUGGUGUAGCGGUGAAAUGCUUAGAUAUCACGAAGAACUCCGAUUGCGAAGGCAGCUUACUGGAUUGUAACUGACGCUGAUGCUCGAAAGUGUGGGUAUCAAACAGGAUUAGAUACCCUGGUAGUCCACACAGUAAACGAUGAAUACUCGCUGUUGGCGAUAUACAGUCAGCGGCCAAGCGAAAGCAUUAAGUAUUCCACCUGGGGAGUACGCCGGCAACGGUGAAACUCAAAGGAAUUGACGGGGG
rnacentral:rRNA from 1 species